rnacentral:rRNA from 1 species
ACACGUCUACAUUAGAUACCCCGGUAGUCCCAGCCGUAAACUAUGCGCGUUAGGUGUAUCGGUGACCACGAGUCACCGAGGUGCCGAAGGGAAACCGUGAAACGUGCCGCCUGGGAAGUACGGUCGCAAGGCUGAAACUUAAAGGAAUUGGCGGGGGAGCACCACAACAGGUGGAGCCUGCGGUUUAAUUGGACUCAACGCCGGGAAGCUCACCGGAUAGGACAGCAGAAUGAUUGCCGGGCUGAAGACUCUGCAUGACUAGCUG